AUGCAAUGGGAUUGUUGGUUCUUCCUAUUUGAAUUUGGUCACCACCAACUUGUUAUGCCACCUAAAAUUUUCUCAGCAGAGAAAGUUAGUUGCGGUAAUUUUCGUUUGGAUCUUCAUACAGAGAUCGAAAUAGGUAGGGGACUCCAGUCCCCUUUGUUCUGUUUUUACUGUAUUUCAUUGUGCAGUUUGUUCACAAACCUAGCUCCUCUGCAUCCGCAUGGCAACGAGGUGGAUGGGGAUGGCGGUCCAACUGUACAUCUGAAGAGGUGCUGCUGUUUAGAUCCUGUAUGUUUUAUCUCUGAUGCUUUGAUGCAACAUGAUUCUGUUCUGUGCUACUUUCAGCACUACUCUUGGCGUUGGAAUGCUGUACUUGGCGCCUGA
rnacentral:rRNA from 1 species